AAUGCCCCGCAUUUCUCGAAGGCUUACGCUCCUGCGUAGGGUAUUCAUGUAGGGAGUGUGGGGCGAU
rnacentral:sRNA from 12 species